UACGUAGAUCCCGAGCGCUGUCCGGAUUUGUUGGGCGUAAAGCGAGCGCAGGUGGUUUAUUAAGUCUGGUGUAAAAGGCAGUGGCUCAACCAUUGUAUGCAUUGGAAACUGGUAGACUUGAGUGCAGGAGAGGAGAGUGGAAUUCCAUGUGUAGCGGUGAAAUGCGUAGAUAUAUGGAGGAACACCGGUGGCGAAAGCGGCUCUCUGGCCUGUAACUGACACUGAGGCUCGAAAGCGUGGGGAGCAAACAGG
rnacentral:rRNA from 1 species